UGGGGAAUAUUGCACAAUGGGCGCAAGCCUGAUGCAGCCAUGCCGCGUGUAUGAAGAAGGCCUUCGGGUUGUAAAGUACUUUCAGCGGGGAGGAAGGGAGUAAAGUUAAUACCUUUGCUCAUUGACGUUACCCGCAGAAGAAGCACCGGCUAACUACGUACCAGCAGCCGCGGUAAUACGUAGGUGGCAAGCGUUGUCCGGAUUUAUUGGGCGUAAAGCGAGCGCAGGCGGUUUCUUAAGUCUGAUGUGAAAGCCCCCGGCUCAACCGGGGAGGGUCAUUGGAAACUGGGAGACUUGAGUGCAGAAGAGGAGAGUGGAAUUCCAUGUGUAGCGGUGAAAUGCGUAGAUAUAUGGAGGAACACCAGUGGCGAAGGCGGCUCUCUGGUCUGUAACUGACGCUGAGGCUCGAAAGCGUGGGGAGCAAACAGG
rnacentral:rRNA from 1 species